rnacentral:rRNA from 1 species
CGGGUGAGUAACGCGUGGGUAACCUGCCUCAUACAGGGGGAUAACAGUUAGAAAUGACUGCUAAUACCGCAUAAGCGCACAGUGCUGCAUGGCACAGUGUGAAAAACUCCGGUGGUAUGAGAUGGACCCGCGUCUGAUUAGCUAGUUGGUGGGGUAACGGCCCACCAAAGCGACGAUCAGUAGUCGGCCUGAGAGGGUGAACGGCCACAUUGGGACUGAGACACGGCCCAAACUCCUACGGGAGGCAGCAUG